GGCGCAUAAAUGGCGCAUAUUCGCCGGAAAGCCUUAUGCUAUAAGGGUUAUCUAAGCCCUUUUAAUCAGUAGGUCAUGGGUUCGAAUCCCAUCGCGCUCACCA
rnacentral:tRNA from 1 species